rnacentral:rRNA from 1 species
UACGUAGGGUGCAAGCGUUGUUCGGAAUUACUGGGCGUAAAGCGCGCGCAGGCGGUGAUGUAAGUCAGUUGUGAAAUCCCCGGGCUCAACCUGGGAACUGCAUCUGAGACUGCAUGGCUGGAGUGCGGCAGAGGGGGAUGGAAUUCCGCGUGUAGCAGUGAAAUGCGUAGAUAUGCGGAGGAACACCGGUGGCGAAGGCGGCAUCCUGGACCGACACUGACGCUGAGGAGCGAAAGCCAGGGGAGCAAACGGG